rnacentral:rRNA from 1 species
AGCAGCCGCGGUAAUUCCAGCUCCAAUAGCGUAUAUUAAAGUUGUUGCAGUUAAAAAGCUCGUAGUUGAAUUUCGGGACUAACAGAUUGGUCGCGCCUUUGGUGUGUACUGGUCUAGUUGGUUUCUCCCUUCUGACGAACCACGAUGUCAUUAAUUUAGUGUCGUGGGAAAUCAGGACUGUUACUUUGAAAAAAUUAGAGUGUUUAAAGCAAGCGCUAGCUUGAAUACAUUAGCAUGGAAUAAUGAAAUAGGACGUUUGACCCUAUUUUGUUGGUUUCUAGGAUCGACGUAAUGAUUAAUAGGGAUAGUUGGGGGCAUUAGUAUUCAAUUGUCAGAGGUGAAAUUCUUGGAUUUAUUGAAGACUAACUACUGCGAAAGCAUUUGCCAAGGAUG